AUGCUUAUUUCAGCAGCACAUAUACUAUACUUGGAAAGAUAGAGAAAUUCAGUAUAACUUCUAUGAAAGGAUGACACACAAAUUCUUGAAAGAUUCCAUGUUUUG
ensembl:snRNA U6 U6 spliceosomal RNA